rnacentral:rRNA from 1 species
GAUGAACGCUGGCGGCGUGCCUAAUACAUGCAAGUCGAGCGAACAGACGAGGAGCUUGCUCCUCUGACGUUAGCGGCGGACGGGUGAGUAACACGUGGAUAACCUACCUAUAAGACUGGGAUAACUUCGGGAAACCGGAGCUAAUACCGGAUAAUAUAUUGAACCGCAUGGUUCAAUAGUGAAAGACGGUUUUGCUGUCACUUAUAGAUGGAUCCGCGCCGCAUUAGCUAGUUGGUAAGGUAACGGCUUACCAAGGCAACGAUGCGUAGCCGACCUGAGAGGGUGGUCGGCCACACUGGAACUGGAACACGGUCCAGACUCCUACGGGAGGCAGCAGUAGGGAAUCUUCCGCAAUGGGCGAAAGCUUGACGGAGCAACGCCGCGUGAGUGAUGAAGGUCUUCGGAUCGUAAAACUCUGUUAUUAGGGAAGAACAAAUGUGUAAGUAACUAUGCACGUCUUGACGGUACCUAAUCAGAAAGCCACGGCUAACUACGUG